CCCUUAGAUGUUCUGGGCCGCACGCGCGCUACACUGAUGCAUUCAACGAGUCUAAAACCUGGUCUGAUAGGGCUGGGUAAUCUUUUGAAUGUGCUUCGUGAUUGGGAUAGAUGAUUGCAAUUCUUCAUCUUCAACGAGGAAUGCCUAGUAAACGCAAGUCAUCAGCUUGCAUUGAUUACGUCCCUGCCCUUUGUACACACCGCCCGUCGCUCCUACCGAUUGAAUGUUCCGAUGAAUACCAUGGACUGAGAGUAUGAAUGGGUUCGCCUAUUUCUGCUUCUCGGGAAGUGGAGUAAAUCUUAACAUUUAGAGGAAGGAGAAGUCGUAACA
rnacentral:rRNA from 1 species